AACGAACGCUGGCGGCGUGGAUAAGACAUGCAAGUCGAACGGGACAGACCGAGUAGCAAUAUUUGGAAUGUUCAGUGGCGAACGGGUGCGUAACACGUGGAUAACAUUCCGGAAAGCGGGGAAUAGCCCAGGGAAACUUGGAUUAAUACCGCAUGUGGCCGCAAGGCUAAAGACGGGGACCGCAAGGCCUGUCACUUUCCGAUUGGUCCGCGGCCUAUCAGCUAGUUGGCGGGGUAAUGGCCCACCAAGGCUACGACGGGUAGCUGGUCUUAGAAGACGACCAGCCACACUGGAACUGAGACACGGUCCAGACACCUACGGGUGGCAGCAGUCGAGAAUCUUUCACAAUGGGGGCAACCCUGAUGGAGCGACGCCGCGUGGAGGAUAGGUCUUCGGAUUGUAGACUCCUGUCAUGCGAGAACAAGGUACUCAGGCUAAUAACCUGAUUGUUUGAUGGUACCGCAAGAGGAAGAGACGGCUAACUCUGUGCCAGCCGCCGCAGUAAGAC
rnacentral:rRNA from 1 species